rnacentral:rRNA from 1 species
CUACGGGGAGCAGCAGUGAGGAAUUUUGCGCAAUGGGGGGAACCCUGACGCAGCAACGCCGUGUGAGUGAAGAAGGCCUUUGGGUCGUAAAGCUCUGUCAACUGGGAAGAAGUUACUGUGCUUUAAUAGAGUGCAGUAUUGACGGUACCAGUGGAGGAAGCGUCGGCUAACUCCGUGCCAGCAGCCGCGGUAACACGGGUGACGCAAGCGUUAUUCGGAAUUAUUGGGCGUAAAGGGCGCGUAGGCGGUCUUGUCGGUCAGGUGUGAAAGCCCGGGGCUCAACCCCGGACGUGCACUUGAAACAGCAAGACUUGAGUACGGGAGAGGAAAGCGGAAUUCCUGGUGUAGAGGUGAAAUUCGUAGAUAUCAGGAGGAACACCGAUGGCGAAGGCAGCUUUCUGGACCGAAACUGACGCUGAGGCGCGAAGGCGUGGGUAGCGAACGGGAUUAGAUACCCGGGUAGUC